rnacentral:tRNA from 1 species
UCUAAUAUGGCAGAAUAGUGCGAUGGAUUUAAGCUCCAUAUAUAAAGAGUCAUUUCUUUUGUUAGAA